UGGGGAAUUUUGGACAAUGGGCGAAAGCCUGAUCCAGCAAUGCCGCGUGCAGGAUGAAGGCCUUCGGGUUGUAAACUGCUUUUGUACGGAACGAAAAAGCUUCUCCUAAUACGAGAGGCCCAUGACGGUACCGUAAGAAUAAGCACCGGCUAACUACGUGCCAGCAGCCGCGGUAAUACGUAGGGUGCGAGCGUUAAUCGGAAUUACUGGGCGUAAAGCGUGCGCAGGCGGUUAUAUAAGACAGAUGUGAAAUCCCCGGGCUCAACCUGGGAACUGCAUUUGUGACUGUAUAGCUAGAGUACGGCAGAGGGGGAUGGAAUUCCGCGUGUAGCAGUGAAAUGCGUAGAUAUGCGGAGGAACGCCGAUGGCGAAGGCAAUCCCCUGGACCUGUACUGACGCUCAUGCACGAAAGCGUGGGGAGCAAACA
rnacentral:rRNA from 1 species